rnacentral:rRNA from 1 species
CGGGACACGUGGUAUCCUGUCUGAAUAUGGGGGGACCAUCCUCCAAGGCUAAAUACUCCUGACUGACCGAUAGUGAACCAGUACCGUGAGGGAAAGGCGAAAAGAACCCCGGCGAGGGGAGUGAAAAAGAACCUGAAACCGUGUACGUACAAGCAGUGGGAGCACGCUUCGGCGUGUGACUGCGUACCUUUUGUAUAAUGGGUCAGCGACUUAUAUUCUGUAGCAAGGUUAACCGAAUAGGGGAGCCGAAGGGAAACCGAGUCUUAACUGGGCGUUAAGUUGCAGGGUAUAGACCCGAAACCCGGUGAUCUAGCCAUGGGCAGGUUGAAGGUUGGGUAACACUAACUGGAGGACCGAACCGACUAAUGUUGAAAAAUUAGCGGAUGACUUGUGGCUGGGGGUGAAAGGCCAAUCAAACCGGGAGAUAGCUGGUUCUCCCCGAAAGCUAUUUAGGUAGCGCCUCGUGAAUUCAUCUCCGGGGGUAGAGCACUGUUUCGGCAAGGGGGUCAUCCCGACUUACCAACCCGAUGCAAACUGCGAAUACCGGAGAAUGUUAUCACGGGAGACACACGGCGGGUGCUAACGUCCGUCGUGAAGAGGGAAACAACCCAGACCGCCAGCUAAGGUCCCAAAGUCAUGGUUAAGUGGGAAACGAUGUGGGAAGGCCCAGACAGCCAGGAUGUUGGCUUAGAAGCAGCCAUCAUUUAAAGAAAGCGUAAUAGCUCACUGGUCGAGUCGGCCUGCGCGGAAGAUGUAACGGGGCUAAACCAUGCACCGAAGCUGCGGCAGCGACACUGUGUGUUGUUGGGUAGGGGAGCGUUCUGUAAGCCUGUGAAGGUGUACUGUGAGGUAUGCUGGAGGUAUCAGAAGUGCGAAUGCUGACAUAAGUAACGAUAAAGCGGGUGAAAAGCCCGCUCGCCGGAAGACCAAGGGUUCCUGUCCAACGUUAAUCGGGGCAGGGUGAGUCGACCCCUAAGGCGAGGCCGAAAGGCGUAGUCGAUGGGAAACAGGUUAAUAUUCCUGUACUUGGUGUUACUGCGAAGGGGGGACGGAGAAGGCUAUGUUGGCCGGGCGACGGUUGUCCCGGUUUAAGCGUGUAGGCUGGUUUUCCAGGCAAAUCCGGAAAAUCAAGGCUGAGGCGUGAUGACGAGGCACUACGGUGCUGAAGCAACAAAUGCCCUGCUUCCAGGAAAAGCCUCUAAGCAUCAGGUAACAUCAAAUCGUACCCCAAACCGACACAGGUGGUCAGGUAGAGAAUACCAAGGCGCUUGAGAGAACUCGGGUGAAGGAACUAGGCAAAAUGGUGCCGUAACUUCGGGAGAAGGCACGCUGAUAUGUAGGUGAAGUCCCUUGCGG